AUGGGAGUGUCAAAUCCAAUGCUGAUGGCGGAAAAUAAUAUGCGUCUAGUCUGUAUUUCAUACCAAGGAUCAUUCACCUUUUCUGUUUUUGGACUUUUAUUAUGCUUAUCAUAUGACAUCUAUGUCGAACUUUUGAUUUCCUACAGCACCCCCAUUUCACCUCUGAUGCAAAUUCCCUUACUAAAUGUGGGCAGUUUGUUUGGACAAUGUUCGCCGGUUUAUUUAUUAUAUGAAUGUUCGCCGGUUUAUUUAUUAUAUGCUUCUUGCUUAUCUGUGAUAUAUUGGGUAAUCGAUCUGCUUGACAACUCUAAUCUCUUUAUUCUGCUAUACUCUGCUGAAGUGGAGUGA
rnacentral:rRNA from 1 species